UGGGCAACCUGCCCUUCACUGGGGGACAACCGAGGGAAACUUCGGCUAAUACCGCAUGAUGUGCGAUGCCAUGAGGUGUCGUACCAAAACUCCGGUGGUGAAGGAUGGGCCCGCGGCGGAUUAGCUUGUUGGUGGGGUAAUGGCCUACCAAGGCAACGAUCCGUAGCUGGUCUGAGAGGACGAUCAGCCACAUUGGGACUAAGACACGGCCCAGACCUCCGUACGGGAGCAG
rnacentral:rRNA from 1 species